AAUCCAUGAUUAAGACAUUUCUUUAAUAUGGCUUUAUAUCUCUCCCAUGCUUCACAAAAAUGUUCAUCAAUUCCUUGGGAGAGAGUUGCAAUGGUAGCUUUGGAGCU
rnacentral:snoRNA from 1 species